rnacentral:rRNA from 1 species
UUCGCAAUGCCCGAAAGGGUGACGAUGCGACGCCGCGUGAGCGAAGAAGGCCCUAGGGUUGUAAAGCUCUGUCGAGGGUUAUGAAAUAUAGAUGGGUUAAUACCCCAUUUAUUUGACAAAAGCCCAAAAGGAAGCCACGGCUAACUCUGUGCCAGCAGCCGCGGUAAUACAGAGGUGGCGAGCGUUGUUCGGUAUUAUUGGGCGUAAAGAGCACGUAGGUGGUUUUGUAAGUCAGGUGUGAAAGCCUUCUGUUCAAAGGAAGAACGGCAUCUGAAACUGCAGAUCUUGAGUGUAGGAGGGGAGAGAGGUACUUCUGGUGGAGCGGUGAAAUGCGUAGAUAUCAGAAGGAACGUCGGCGGCGAAAGCGACUCUCUGGCCUAUUACUGACACUGAGUGUGCGAAAGUUAGGGGAGCAAACGGGAUUAGAUACCCCGGUAGUCCUAACCGUAAACGAUGGGCACUAAGUAGAGGGGUUUU